UGUUGGAUUUUAUUAAACAAACUGACUUGCUCCAGAGAUCUCUUUCUUGUCCUUCUGGAUGGACUCUGAUCAAUAGUCGCUGCUUUCAAUAUGUUUAAAAAAGCAUGACUUGGGCAAGAGCCGAGGUGAUUUCCAAUAACAUUGUGCUCUUAAUUUCUUUUGUUCUUUGCUGAAGAAAUUCAGCUACUUCUAACUUUUGUGUCUGUAGAGAAACUGUCUGUCCAUGGGGACAAACCUUGCAUCAGUUCAGGACUUGAACGAGUACAAUCAGAUUCAGAUUAUAGUAACUGCAGCAGGUCACGGGGCCAAACAAGCAUGGAUUGGAGGCACUAAUGCACAGGAGGAGAGCAUUUGGUUGUGUAGCGAUGGAAGCCGUUUCGACUACACACACUGGUGUUCUGGACAGAAUAAUAAAGAUGGAGGCAACCAGCACUGUUUACAGAUAAACUAUUCAGGUGUAAAGUGCUGGGAUGACCUGGGGUCUAAUCACAAUCUGCCUUCUGUCUGCGCCAAGAAACCCUGAAAACUGUGAGGUUCCCAAAGAGGCCAGAUUUAAAUCAGAACCAGUGGAGGGAAGGACCUGGUAACAAUGAUGAGACCCUGUAGAGAGAGGAGAUCCAGCACCUGUCCCAGAGGUGUUCACUGAACCAUCCAGUACUGCAGAAGGAUGAAGAUGAUCUCCAGGAUCCUGCUGCUCCUCAUCCUCAGCUCAUGUCUCUGUGCAACAUUUGUAGUGAAUGUGACACAGAGCAGCUAUCAGGCAGAGGAGAACCACAGCAUCACUCUGGAGUGGACCUCCACCACCAAGACUCAGGGAUCCAAUGGGAAACUGUUCAUUGACUGUCAUUUUAGAUCAUCAGUAAAACCAGGGGUAACAAUAUAUGCUCAUCAUGAUGGUGUUGAGAUUCCAGAAUCUCAGGAUGAACAGUUUUCAGGACGAGUCCAGAUUGACAAAGACGUCCUCAGAGAAGGACGAAUCAGACUAAAUGUGUCCAGACUGAGGACUGAAGACUCUGGUCUGUAUCUGUGUGACGUGAAAACUAAAGAUGGUUCCAACUCUUCAAAAUGUCGACUCAACGUUACUGCAGCUGCUGAUGUCUCUCAAGUCCAGAAAACGACCUUGGAUCCAGAAGGUCGAAGAAGGAACGGCGUCCAUGAUUCUCUUGGACUGACAACAACAGCAGCUGCUGAUGUCUCUCCAACCCAGAGAACGACCUUGGAUCCAGAACCAGAAGGUCGAGGAAGGAUCGGCCUCCAUGUUUCUCUGUUACUGACAGCAGCAGCAGCAGCAGCUCUGAUGGUCAAACUUUUCCUGACUCUCCGUUCAAAGGGUUGAUAUGGAUGAUGAUCCUGUGGGCAGGAAGGAGCUCCAGUAGCAGUCUGUGUUGGACUGAAUAUGAAGAAGCCUCUGACUGAAGACUGUUGCUGUUUGACCAAAUCAUGGCUGCAUGACAAGCAAACAGGUCAAAUAUCAGACAGCAGAGAAAAUAGUUCACUGAAACACUGGAUGACAUCAUCAGGCUCUGCUAAUCCACCUCAUCAGCUUUUGCUUCUCCUCUGUAGAGAGAGAGUAGAGGGAAGGAGAGAGAGAACACUAACUAGGAAACUAGGAACAUUAAUCUAACUGCUAAUGAGCUACUAAACACAAGUAAUGAAUGAACAUAAAGUAGAAAAUGACUGAACUAAAUUAAACCAGAAUCCAGGCUGAUCUGAUCAGAACCAGAACUAAGAAUCCAGAAAACCCAAAACAUCUCAGGAAGCUGCUGAUAAAAAGCAACAAAUAUUUAAUUUAAAUUUCUGUUUCUGUUGGAUUAUCUUUGAGCAGAACUGUAGAAGUAAAGGUCGUUUACAAUUUCCCCGUUCUAAAAACAAAACAUUGUUAUGGUUACGCAACACUACAAAAGUCCAAAAGUAAAAAAUGUAAGAAGAAAGAUCCCUGCAACGACAAACCCAGAGGGAAACCAAAACAAGAACCAAUCAGAGCUGACGUAGCUGAGCUGCUCCAACAUGGCUGUCAUGGAAGAAAUUACUUCAGCAAGAGUCUGGAUGAGAAGAAAUAAGUAAUUUAUUAAAACCUUGCAAGGUGAGAACAGAAAUACAGAGUCGUAGGAAUCUGUCAAGUCUGCUCUGACCAACAGUGGAUCUGGUUUCCUUUUAUAGGUUCUGGUCAGAGAA